UUGCUACUGAUAUAUGAGAGCAGCGCACUGGUGAGUAACACGUGGGAACGAUACCUUUUGUGGGGGACGAACAGUUGGAAACGACUGCUAAUACCGCAUAAGCCCUGAGGGGGAAAGAUUAUUGCCGAAAGAUUGGCCCGCGGAAGAUUAGGUAGUAGGUGGGGUAACGGCCUACCUAGCCAACGAUCUAUAGCUGGUCUGAGAGGACGAUCAGCCACAUUGGGACUGAGACACGGCCCAGACUCCUACGGGAGGCAGCAGUGAGGAAUAUUGGGCAAUGGAGGCAACUCUGAACCCCCAGCCAUGCCGCGUGAGUGAAGAAGGUUUUCGGAUUGUAAAGCUCUUUCGGACGUGAAGAUGAUGACGGUAGCGUCUAAAGAAGCCCCGGCUAACUUCGUGCCAGCCGCCGC
rnacentral:rRNA from 1 species